GAUGAACGCUGGCGGCGUGCCUAAUACAUGCAAGUAGAACGCUGAAGGAGGAGCUUGCUCUUCUGGAUGAGUUGCGAACGGGUGAGUAACGCGUAGGUAACCUGCCUGGUAGCGGGGGAUAACUAUUGGAAACGAUAGCUAAUACCGCAUGACAACAGUUAUUGCAUGAUAACUGUUUAAAAGGGGCAACUGCUCCACUACCAGAUGGACCUGCGUUGUAUUAGCUAGUUGGUGAGGUAACGGCUCACCAAGGCGACGAUACAUAGCCGACCUGAGAGGGUGAUCGGCCACACUGGGACUGAGACACGGCCCAGACUCCUACGGGAGGCAGCAGUAGGGAAUCUUCGGCAAUGGACGGAAGUCUGACCGAGCAACGCCGCGUGAGUGUAGAAGGUUUUCGGAUCGUAAAGCUCUGUUGUAAGAGAAGAACGAGUGUGAGAGUGGAAAGUUCACACUGUGACGGUAUCUUACCAGAAAGGGACGGCUAACUACGUG
rnacentral:rRNA from 1 species